rnacentral:rRNA from 1 species
AGUGAACGCUGGCGGUAGGCCUAACACAUGCAAGUCGAACGGCAGCACAGUAAGAGCUUGCUCUUACGGGUGGCGAGUGGCGGACGGGUGAGGAAUACAUCGGAAUCUACUUUUUCGUGGGGGAUAACGUAGGGAAACUUACGCUAAUACCGCAUACGACCUACGGGUGAAAGCAGGGGAUCUUCGGACCUUGCGCGAUUGAAUGAGCCGAUGUCGGAUUAGCUAGUUGGCGGGGUAAAGGCCCACCAAGGCGACGAUCCGUAGCUGGUCUGAGAGGAUGAUCAGCCACACUGGAACUGAGACACGGUCCAGACUCCUACGGGAGGCAGCAGAGGGGAAUAUUGGACAAUGGGGGCAAGCCUGAUCCAGCCAUACCGCGUGGGUGAAGAAGGCCUCCGGGUUGUAAAGCCCUUUUGUUGGGAAAGAAAAGCAGCAGGUUAAUACCCCGCUGUUCUGACGGUACCCAAAGAAUAAGCACCGGCUAACUUCGUG